UUAAGUUCAGCGGGUAUUCCUACCUGAUCCGAGGUCAACCUUGAUAAAAGGGGGGUGUUUUACGGCAAGAACCCGCCGCACGACCAAAGCGAGAUGUGCUACUGCGCUCGGUGUGACUAGCGAGCCCGCCACUGGUUUCAGGGCCUGCGGGCAGCCGCAGGACCCCAACACAAGCAGGGCUUGAUGGUUGAAAUGACGCU
rnacentral:misc_RNA from 1 species